GGAGGAGUUCGAGGCUACCACCGUGCUCGUCGUCGCUGCUGCAGCCGCUCUCGGGCUCCGAGAAGUGCAGCCCGCCGUUGGUGGACGAGGCGCCGCUGCCACCGCCGCCCGCCGGGCUCUUGGCGCUGCCGCUGGCCGAUCGGUUCUUCCCCAGUAACUCGGGCCCUUUCUCCAUCAUGCCGGGCAUGGUAGAAGAGGGGAGGGGGAAAGAGGCGCGGCCGCCUCUCAGGCUUCCUUUCUAGGGGGCGCUCGGAGCGCGGGCGGAGGCGCACGCGAGGCAUCCGGACUCUUUGCCCUCUCUGGGCGGAAGGAACGCGGCCGGCCUGAGAAAGGCCCGGAACUGGGGCCUGAUUCCCUGGAGAGACAGAGGCUUCCGAGAUGAGUUUCCAGUGCCGAACAAUACAGCUGUAUAUGGCUAAAAGGGGAAGAAACCAGUAAUGAAAAAGGAGCUGAAGAAACAAGAGCAGAGAGAGAUUAACUGAUGGAGCAAGACUUUGAAGAAUGAAGGAGCGACAAGGACAAGGUGGCUGGAUUGGUCUUGACCAAGAGGCAGUACACCUCAUCCUCUGAGACUAGAGAAAGCUAAAAAAGGAGAUACUUGUAGGAACUUCUGAACAAAUAGAAUAUGAAAAUGCCAGUAUUGAAACUAAUGCAAGAAACUCUCUGCAUGGAAUCCCACCAUGAAACUAAAGAAGCCAAAAGAGAACUAUAAUAUCUCUUUUGAAAGAAUUAGAACAACAGCUUGCUGUCAACAAAAAGAUCACAACCCAUGGCAAAGAUAGCUAUUAAAAAUAUGUCAUCAAAGUCAACAAGAGAGAGACAGAGACAGAGAUAACUUGGAGAUGGAGUAAAAAGAAAAUAUAUGGAGUUAGCUAAUAACCAAUAUGUCCUCUUCCAACUAGUGUAGAAUUAUAAAGAGCUUUCUCUUUUGUGGUAAAAUGUGCACAAAAAUAAGUUCAUUGUCUAAUAAAAACCAAUUGACACUUAAAGAAACAUCUUUCUUUAAAAAAAGAUAUCAUAUUUCAUCUUAUAUUUUUCAUGAUUAAUUACAUUUUCUUUAUUUCAUGUAGUGUGUACAUUAGUUUGUAACACUUUAUUUUACCUGCCAACAACU